rnacentral:rRNA from 1 species
AGUGAACGCUGGCGGUAGGCCUAACACAUGCAAGUCGAACGGCAGCACAGUAAGAGCUUGCUCUUACGGGUGGCGAGUGGCGGACGGGUGAGGAAUACAUCGGAAUCUACUUUUUCGUGGGGGAUAACGUAGGGAAACUUACGCUAAUACCGCAUACGACCUACGGGUGAAAGCAGGGGAUCUUCGGACCUUGCGCGAUUGAAUGAGCCGAUGUCGGAUUAGCUAGUUGGCGGGGUAAAGGCCCACCAAGGCGACGAUCCGUAGCUGGUCUGAGAGGAUGAUCAGCCACACUGGAACUGAGACACGGUCCAGACUCCUACGGGAGGCAGCAGUGGGGAAUAUUGGACAAUGGGCGCAAGCCUGAUCCAGCCAUGCCGCGUGGGUGAAGAAGGCCUUCGGGUUGUAAAGCCCUUUUGUUGGGAAAGAAAAGCAGCAGGUUAAUACCCCGCUGUUCUGACGGUACCCACAGAAUAAGCACCGGCUAACUUCGUG